rnacentral:rRNA from 1 species
CCUAGGGUGGCACCAGUGGGGAAUAUUGGACAAUGGGGGAAACCCUGAUCCAGCAAUGCCGCGUGUGUGAAGAAGGCCUGCGGGUUGUAAAGCACUUUCGGUUGGGAGGACUGCUUCUAGCACUAAUAUUGUUGGAAGUUGACGUUACCUUCAGAAGAAGCACCGGCUAACUCCGUACCAGCAGCCGCGGUAAUACGGGGGGUGCAAGCGGUAAUCGGAAUUACUGGGCGUAAAGCGCGCGUAGGCGGCUAGAUCAGUCGGGUGUGAAAGCCCCGGGCUUAACCUGGGAACUGCAUCCGAUACUGUCUAGCUUGAGUACAGGAGAGGAGAGUGGAAUUCCACAUGUAGCGGUGACAUGCGUAGAUAUGUGGAGGAACACCAAUGGCGAAGGCAGCUCUCUGGCCUGAUACUGACGCUGAGGUGCGAAAGCGUGGGGAGCAAACAGGAUUAGAUACCCCCGUAGUC